AUAUUGCACAAUGGGCGCAAGCCUGAUGCAGCAACGCCGCGUGCGGGAUGACGGCCUUCGGGUUGUAAACCGCUUUUAGUAGGGAAGAAGCCUUUCGGGGUGACGGUACCUGCAGAAAAAGGACCGGCGAACUACGUGCCAGCAGCCGCGGUAAUACGUAGGGUCCGAGCGUUGUCCGGAAUUAUUGGGCGUAAAGAGCUCGUAGGCGGUUUGUCGCGUCUGCUGUGAAAUCCCGGGGCUCAACUCCGGGCCUGCAGUGGGUACGGGCAGACUUGAGUGGUGUAGGGGAGACUGGAAUUCCUGGUGUAGCGGUGGAAUGCGCAGAUAUCAGGAGGAACACCGAUGGCGAAGGCAGGUCUCUGGGCACUUACUGACGCUGAGGAGCGAAAGCGUGGGGAGCGAACAGG
rnacentral:rRNA from 1 species